CCUACGGGUGGCAGCAGUGAGGAAUAUUGGUCAAUGGGCGAGAGCCUGAACCAGCCAAGUCGCGUGAAGGAUGACGGCUCUACGGGUUGUAAACUUCGUUUGUCAGGGAGCAAUUGGGUCCACGCGUGGGCUUAGCGAGAGUACCUGAAGAAACAGCAUGGGCUAACUCCGUGCCAGCAGCCGCGGUAAUACGGAGGUUGCGAGCGUUAUCCGGAUUGAUUGGGUUUAAAGGGUGCGUGGGCGGAAUAUCAAGUCAGCGGUAAAAAUUCGGGGCUCAACCCCGUCGUGCCGUUGAAACUGAUGUUCUGGAGUGGGCGAGAAGUAUGCGGAAUGCGUGGUGUAGCGGUGAAAGGCAUAGAUAUCACGCAGAACUCCGAUUGCGAAGGCAGCAUACCGGCGCCCAACUGACGCUGAAGCACGAAAGCGUGGGUAUCGAACAGGAUUAGAUACCCGAGUAGUC
rnacentral:rRNA from 1 species